GGACCCUUAGCUCAGUUGGUUAGAGCAUCCGGCUCAUAACCGGACGGUCGAUGGUUCGAGUCCAUCAGGGUCCACCA
rnacentral:tRNA from 3 species